rnacentral:rRNA from 1 species
UACGUAGGGCGCAAGCGUUAUCCGGAAAUAUUGGGCGUAAAGAGCUCGUAGGCGGUUUGUCGCGUCUGCCGUGAAAGUCCGGGGCUCAACUCCGGAUCUGCGGUGGGUACGGGCAGACUAGAGUGAUGUAGGGGAGACUGGAAUUCCUGGUGUAGCGGUGAAAUGCGCAGAUAUCAGGAGGAACACCGAUGGCGAAGGCAGGUCUCUGGGCAUUAACUGACGCUGAGGAGCGAAAGCAUGGGGAGCGAACAGG